UUUGCUUUUCAGUUUUUGGCUAAGAUCAAGUAAAUUAUCUGUUCUUAUCAGUUUAGUAUCUGAUAGGUUAGCUCCGAUGACAAUAUUUUAAGUGGAUUUUUGGAAUUAGGAAAUAAAAUAGGAGCUUGCUCUGUUCAUUCCAUGCAUCAAUCUGGUAUUUCAGUACCUCCAGAAAUGGUGCACCCUCU